CUGCAGCUCACUUUGCAGCCCAGGCUGGCCUGAAACUCACAGUGAUUCUCUUGCCUUAGCCUCCUGAGUGCUAGGAU
rnacentral:miRNA from 1 species